GAUGAAGAACGUAGCAAACUGCGAUACUUGGUGUGAAUUGCAGAAUCCCGUGAACCAUCGAGUCUUUGAACGCAAGUUGCGCUUGAAGCCAUUAGGCUGAGGGCACGUCUGCCUGGGCGUCACGUAAUGCGUCGCUCUCUCGCAGCUCGCCCCAUACGGGACGAGUGUUGCUAAUGGGGGCGGAGAAUGGCCUCCCGUGCGCCUCGCCGCGCGGUUGGCAUAAAUACCAAGUCCUCGACGACGCACGCCACGACAAUCGGUGGUUGCGAAACCUCGGUUGCCCGUCGUGUGCGUUCGUCGCGCAUCGAGGGCUCGAAAAAAUGCUCGGCUCCGGCUCGGCUUUCAACGCGACCCCAGGUCAGGCGGGGUUACCCGCUGAAUUUAAGCAUAUCAAUAAGCGGAGGA
rnacentral:misc_RNA from 1 species